GUAGAAUUCAGAAAGUAUUCUUCUUCUUUAUGUUUGCAUGUGAGUCUGGUUCUGAGGCAAAAAGUUGCUCCUCUUUUCUAAUCUGGAUAACUAUCAGUGUUUUUAAUGAAGAAUAGAAAUGAAAGGGGUGGGAAAUGGAAGAGAUAGCAGAAUGGGGACAUCUUCUCACACACUGAAGAGUUGUACUGUUUUCCCCCAGGGAGAAUCCUAGAAUGGCCUGGGUUGAAAAGGACCACAGUGAUCAUCUCAUUCCAACCCCCUGCUAUGUGCAGGGUCGCCAGCCAGCAGCCCAGGCUGCCCAGAGCCACAUCCAG
rnacentral:lncRNA from 1 species